GAGAAUUAGUAACAGCAACAAAAAGUGAAAUCCCUUAAACUAAACCUAAACAAAAUAUUGUUCAUCAUUUCACGACCUAAGCGAAAGACUCCACAGUCGACCUAACGCGAAAGACUCCACAGUCGACCUAAACGCACUGCCGCCUUCAGUCUCUAGUCGCACUGCCGCCUUCAGUCUCUAGUCGCACUGCCGCCUUCAGCCCCUCUCAGUCGACCUAAACACAGCUCCUCUCAGUCGACCUAAACGCAGCCCCUCUCAGUGCACCUAAACGGGAAGCAGUGGUAGAUUCAAACCCAUGAAGAGAUCCUUCCAAGCCUGUAUAUGUAUUAACCUAGAGAGAAAACCAAUUGUGUACUAUGAAAACAAGAAGAAAUCGCAGUGAAGUUGAGAAGGAACUCGGGAUGUUGUUUUCAAAAGGAGGAAAACUGAGAUCGAGAAUUGGAAAUCAGACUAAAAAAUCAAGAAGCGGAUCAAAGUUUCAAAUGCUUGUAGAGGAUGUUCGGGAAGAAGUGCUUCUCUUGCAAUAAGAGGGUCUGGGGAAUGUGGAAUUCUAUAUUUGGCAGCCUCUGAAUGCCUGCUCACCAUUGAGUAAUAAAGUUCAAUUCAUUAAUAUUAGCUCUCCAUUUGUCCUAAUCGUGAGAGGAGGUUGCAGUUUUGAGGAUAAAGUUCGAACAGCUUAAAAAGCGGGAUUCAAAGCUGCAAUCGUCUAUGACAAUGAAGAUGGCGGCAUCUUAGUUGCAAGUAAUGACUUUUUUUUUACAACUUGGAUAGGCUUGUUGUGCUAGCUACUUCUAUGAAAUUGCUUAGUCUUAUAACUAAUAGUGAAUGAGUGUGAGCCUGCAUUUUCUCAUGAGUAAAUGUUGAUUAACCUUUUACUACUGGUUUAUUAAAUGUACUGAGUUAUCAAUAGAGUUCCCGAUGGGAUUAGACACUAACUCUGUUAUCUGCACAUCUAAAACAUGUAUAAUAGUAACCAGGUAGUAUAGAAUGGGAUGUGUGUCAAUUUGCUUUGUUCUUUAUGCUCAGUAAUUUUCUUAGGCAAACUAUUUUUAAUUUUUUUGGACUCAGAUGGAAGCUUCUUAUGUUAUAAUAUAUGAGUAAUAAAUUUUAUGAUUAUUGUUA